rnacentral:sRNA from 1 species
GGGCAAGAGGUUCGACUCGAGCGCAGCGAGAGAACGUUGCGUCAGCAACGGCCCGCAGGGCGAGCUACGCAGUGGCGAGUCAUCCUCUAUCACCGGCAG